GCUGGGCGUGGUGGUGCACGCCUGUAGUCCCAGCUACUCAGGAGGCUGAGGCAGGAGAAUUGCUUGAACCCAGGAGGCAUAGGUUGCAGUGAGCCAAGAUCAUGCCACUGCACUCCAGCCUGGGCGACACAGCAAGACUCCAUCUCAA
rnacentral:SRP_RNA from 1 species